rnacentral:rRNA from 1 species
ACGGGUGAGUAACACGUGAGUAAUCUGCCCUUCACUUUGGGAUAAGCCUCGGAAACGGGGUCUAAUACCGAAUACGACCGCCUCCUGCAUGGGAUGGUGGUGGAAAGUUUUUUCGGUGGGGGAUGUGCUCGCGGCCUAUCAGCUUGUUGGUGGGGUAAUGGCCUACCAAGGCUUCGACGGGUAGCCGGCCUGAGAGGGUGACCGGCCACACUGGGACUGAG